rnacentral:rRNA from 2 species
AAAUUGAAGAGUUUGAUCAUGGCUCAGAUUGAACGCUGGCGGCAGGCCUAACACAUGCAAGUCGAACGGUAGCACAGAGAGCUUGCUCUCGGGUGACGAGUGGCGGACGGGUGAGUAAUGUCUGGGAAACUGCCUGAUGGAGGGGGAUAACUACUGGAAACGGUAGCUAAUACCGCAUAACGUCGCAAGACCAAAGAGGGGGACCUUCGGGCCUCUUGCCAUCAGAUGUGCCCAGAUGGGAUUAGCUAGUAGGUGGGGUAACGGCUCACCUAGGCGACGAUCCCUAGCUGGUCUGAGAGGAUGACCAGCCACACUGGAACUGAGACACGGUCCAGACUCCUACGGGAGGCAGCAGUGGGGAAUAUUGCACAAUGGGCGCAAGCCUGAUGCAGCCAUGCCGCGUGUAUGAAGAAGGCCUUCGGGUUGUAAAGUACUUUCAGCGGGGAGGAAGGCGAUAAGGUUAAUAACCUUGUCGAUUGACGUUACCCGCAGAAGAAGCACCGGCUAACUCCGUGCCAGCAGCCGCGGUAAUACGGAGGGUGCAAGCGUUAAUCGGAAUUACUGGGCGUAAAGCGCACGCAGGCGGUCUGUCAAGUCGGAUG